rnacentral:lncRNA from 1 species
GCAGCACACUUCCUCCUGGCUGAACAAAAGACGAGAAGAGCGAGCACUGGAAAGCAAACCUCCAAAGGUGCAAUCGAGUAUUAUGAGAGUUAUGUGGAAGACCUGAAGAGACAAGGAUUCCUGCUCCAAGAGCACUUCACGGCCGAAGCAACGCAGUUAGCAUCCGAGAAGCUGCAGGCAUUGCUUUUGGAGGAGGUCAUAAGUUCAGGUACCCUGAGCCAGGAGGUGACUGAUUUUCUGGAGGUGAUCUGGACAGAAGCUCUGGGCCACCUGGAGCACACGCUCCUCAAGCCAGUGAACAGCAUGAGCC